GAUGAACGCUAGCUACAGGCUUAACACAUGCAAGUCGAGGGGCAGCACAAGGCAGCAAGUGCUGAGGUGGCGACCGGCGCACGGGUGCGUAACGCGUAUCCAACCUUCCCGUUACUCUUGGAUAGCCUUCCGAAAGGGAGAUUAAUACAAGAUGGUGUUGAAAUUCCGCAUGUAUUUCAACUAAAGAUUUAUCGGUAACGGAUGGGGAUGCGUGACAUUAGGUAGAUGGCGGGGUAACGGCCACCAUGCCUACGAUGUCUAGGGGUUCUGAGAGGAAAGGGUCCCCCCCAACACUGGAACCUGAGACAGGUCCAGACUCCUACGGGAGGCAGCAGUGAGGAAUACUUGGGUCAAUGGUCGGAAGACUGACCAGCC
rnacentral:rRNA from 1 species